rnacentral:lncRNA from 1 species
GGGGAAGGGCCUUGUAUUGACUUUAGGUUAUUUGCUUGACCAAGAAGCAACUUAUCUUGCACACAAAAUAACUCACUUGAUCAUGGAUCAAGUUGAGUUUGGUUUGGACCAAAGAAGGUUAAACUUCUCAUUUGUCAAGACCAACCAUAAGACUUUAACUCAUUGGCCAUUGAUGGAAAUAAAGCGAUGAAGAUGAAAGGGAGGGAAAAAAAG